rnacentral:rRNA from 1 species
AACGAACGCUGGCGGCAUGCCUAACACAUGCAAGUCGAACGAACCCUUCGGGGUUAGCGGCGCACGGGUGCGUAACACGUGGAUAAUCUGCCUCAGGGUUGAGGAUAACCUUCCGAAAGGUUGGCUAAUACUCGGUAAGCUUACGGUGACCUUGGUCGCUGUGAGAAAACUAGACCUCUAUUUAUAAGUUUAGGCCCAGAGCUGAGUCCGCGGCCCAUCAGCUAGUUGGCGGGGUAACGGCCCACCAAGGCUACGACGGGUAGCGGGUCUGAGAGGACCAUAGCCCACCCUGGAACUGGGACACAGUCCAGACUCCUACGGGAGGCAGCGGGGGGAAAUUUUCCACAAUGGGGGAAAGCGUGAUGGAGCAACGCCGCGUGUGUGAUGAAGGUCUUCGGAUCGUAAAUCAUUUUCGACUGGGACGAAAAACCUUUGGCAAACAUCCAGGGGCCUGACGGUACCAGGAGAAGAAGCACCGGCUAACUCUGUGCCAGCCGCCGCCGUAAUAC